AUAAGCAGUUACCUCUCUGGGACUUAGAGUGUUUUCUGAUAUCAUUUUGAAGCAAAAACUCUGGAUUCAACUUCUGUCGUAGGACAUGCAGACUCAUUGCACCUGUACUCUUAAGACAAGUUUAUCCCAUGAAGUGCUGAACAACCACAUCUUUCUUCACAACUGGAGCUGAUGACUCUAAAAACCUCAAGAAAUGUCUGUUUACUGCAAGACCAGACAGCACAUCAUAAAAACCUACCCUCCAAGCUUUCUGUAAGAAAAGGAGGAGGAAGUUUUCUUUCUCUUCUGUCACAAGAGGUCAGAAGGACCAAAACCAUUUUCACUGUCUAAUUCUGCUGCUGUACAUUUUGGUACCUAUGUAAAGAUCCAAGAAUAAAUUUUGGCCUGGACCAUGGAAUAUUUACUCACUUUGAAAUGCAGAUGUGACCUGCCUUCUCCUUCUGCAACUAACAGGGUGACCAGAGGCAGUGGAAUGUACACCAGGACUGGAAAGAACAGAACCAGAGGGAAAGCAAACUGUCAAGAGAACAGUGUACUGAAGAGGAAAAAUUUUUUCAUACAGAAUACACCUUCUGCCUGGAAGAGGUGCAACACUUCCUCCAGUCCCUGUGUCUGCCUUGCAGAACAAAGUCAAAUUAUGGCUACAGGAAUGUUUCCCUUAUGUGGAGAGCAAUUCACAGCCAUCACAGUGCCUCCCUCCUGUCUUCUACAAGCUGUGUAAGUAUUGGUGGGUUACACCACACCCUGAAUUUACUGCAGUUUCAACACACUAAACAUACACGUGUUGCUUAGUGUGGGCUGCUCAGCAUGCACCAACCUGAAGGACCACAGGGGAAAGCACCAAACAUAAUUCUGUAAUAUCAUUAUGUGCUAUGGCUCAUCAGUGGACUUCGAAAAACAGAUUUACACAAGUGAUGUGAAGUUUAUAUGGGACUUAGGGUAUGAAUCAGAUGUGCAUUUAGACUAGACAAUAGGAAAAUUAGGCUAGAGGGGAUCUCAAGAGGUCGUCUGGUUCAUCUUGCUAAUUUCUGUCGGGAUCUCUGUAUAGCUGAAUUAGUCACGAACAAGGAAUAUGUUCGCUCCCCAUAGUACUAGGAGAAACUGUGUAUGUGUGAGGGAAGAGUGGGAGGAUCAGCUUUCCUAAAUAAACUGCAUAAGUCCACUGGCUAACUUCCA
rnacentral:lncRNA from 1 species